rnacentral:rRNA from 1 species
GCUACGGGAGGCAGCAGUGGGGGAUAUUGCACAAUGGGGGGAACCCUGAUGCAGCGACGCCGCGUGUGGGAAGACGGUCCUUUUGAUUGUAAACCACUGUCCCCAGGGACGAAAAUGACGGUACCUGGGGAGGAAGCUCCGGCUAACUACGUGCUAGCAGCCGCGGUAAUACGUAGGGAGCGAGCGUUGUCCGGAAUUACUGGGGGUAAAGGGAGCGUAGGCGGGGAUGCAAGUUGGGUGUCAAAACUACCGGCUAAACUGGUAGUCGCACUCAAAACUGCAGCUCUUGAGUGAAGUAGAGGCAGGCGGAAUUCCUAGUGUAGCGGUGAAAUGCGUAGAUAUUAGGAGGAACACCAGUGGCGAAGGCGGCCUGCUGGGCUUUUACUGACGCUGAGGCUCGAAAGUGUGGGGAGCAAACAGGAUUAGAUACCCCUGUAGUC